rnacentral:rRNA from 1 species
UACGUAGGUGGCAAGCGUUGUCCGGAUUUACUGGGCGUAAAGAGCGCGCAGGCGGUCGUUUAAGUCGAAUGUGAAAGCCCCCGGCUCAACUGGGGAGGGUCAUUCGAUACUGAUCGACUCGAAGGCAGGAGAGAGAAGUGGAAUUCCCGGUGUAGUGGUGAAAUGCGUAGAUAUCGGGAGGAACACCAGUGGCGAAGGCGACUACCUGGCCUGUUCUUGACGCUGAGGCGCGAAAGCGAGGGGAGCAAACGGG